GGAUGUGAGGGCGAUCUGCGUGCAACAUCUAUCACCCCAUUGAUUGCCAGGGUUGAUUUGGCUGAUGUGUCUGGCUAGUGGGUGUCCCCUUCUUCCCUCACUGUUCCCUUCUGAAGCUGUGUCCUGCGGGGGGAGCAGAUGACCAACCCCAACACCGAUGGAGGAGGACCCAUUUCUUCCCCAUGCGCUUUGCUGCUAGAACCACUAGAGUCCUAAAAGACUUUUAAUUGUUCUCAAUCUAAAAGGUAGGGAAAGGCAUAGUACUUCAGAAAACCCAGAUUCAUAGUUCUUU
rnacentral:sRNA from 1 species